rnacentral:piRNA from 1 species
UCCAAAUGAAGUGUGUUUGGCCAAUAGAU